GGCCACCUUCGGGGGGCUUAACCAUAGGCGGAUUUGCCUCAACGGGCGCCGCCGUUAGCAAACGGAAGACAGAAA
rfam:Roseobacter sp. AzwK-3b 1103032000572, whole genome shotgun sequence.